rnacentral:rRNA from 1 species
ACGGCGAGUGAAGCGGCAACAGCUCAAAUUUGAAAUCUGGCCCCCCGGCCCGAGUUGUAAUUUGCAGAGGAUGCUUUUGGUGAGGCACCUACCGAGUCCCCUGGAAUGGGGCGCCAUAGAGGGUGAGAGCCCCGUAUGGUAGGACGCCGAGCCUCUGUAAAGCUCCUUCGACGAGUCGAGUAGUUUGGGAAUGCUGCUCUAAAUGGGAGGUAAAUUUCUUCUAAAGCUAAAUACCGGCCAGAGACCGAUAGCGCACAAGUAGAGUGAUCGAAAGAUGAAAAGCACUUUGAAAAGAGGGUUAAAAAGUACGUGAAAUUGUUGAAAGGGAAGCGCUUGUGACCAGACUUGCGCCGGGCGGAUCAUCCAGCGUUCUCGCUGGUGCACUCCGCCCGGUUCAGGCCAGCAUCGGCUUUCGCCGGGGGACAAAGGCUUCGGGAACGUGGCUCCUUUCGGGGAGUGUUAUAGCCCGUUGCGUAAUACCCCGGCGGGGACCGACGACCGCGCUUCGGCAAGGAUGCUGGCGUAAUGGUCAUCAGCGACCCGUCUUGAAACACGGACCGAGGAGUCAAGCAUUAGUGCGAGUGUUUGGGUGUAAAACCCGCACGCGUAAUGAAAGUGAACGUAGGUGAGAGCUUCGGCGCAUCAUCGACCGAUCCUGAUGUUUUCGGAAGGAUUUGAGUAGGAGCAUUAACGCUUGGACCCGAAAGAUGGUGAACUAUACUUGAAUAGGGUGAAGCCAGAGGAAACUCUGGUGGAGGCUCGCAGCGGUUCUGACGUGCAAAUCGAUCGUCAAAUUUGAGUAUAGGGGCGAAAGACUAAUCGAACC